rnacentral:rRNA from 1 species
GUGGGGAAUAUUGGACAAUGGGCGCAAGCCUGAUCCAGCCAUGCCGCGUGAGUGAUGAAGGCCUUAGGGUUGUAAAGCUCUUUCGCCAGGGACGAUAAUGACGGUACCUGGAUAAGAAGCCCCGGCUAACUUCGUGCCAGCAGCCGCGGUAAUACGAAGGGGGCUAGCGUUGUUCGGAAUCACUGGGCGUAAAGCGCAUGCAGGCGGAUCGAUAAGUCGGGGGUGAAAGCCCGAGGCUCAACCUCGGAACUGCCUUCGAUACUGUCGAUCUUGAGUCCGGGAGAGGUGAGUGGAACUCCGAGUGUAGAGGUGAAAUUCGUAGAUAUUCGGAAGAACACCAGUGGCGAAGGCGGCUCACUGGCCCGGUACUGACGCUGAGAUGCGAAAGCGUGGGGAGCAAACAGGAUUAGAAACCCCAGUAGUCC